rnacentral:lncRNA from 1 species
GGAGGCAGGUAGCCUAGCGGUUAGAGGGGGGGAGGCAGGUAGCCUAGCGGUUAGAGGGGGGAGGCAGGUAGCCUAGCGGUUAGAGGGGGGAGGCAGGUAGCCUAGUGGUUAGAGUGUUGGACUAGUAACCGAAAGGUUGCUGGAUCGAAUCCCCCGAGCUGACAAGGUAAAAAUCUGUCGUUCUGCCCCUGAACAAGGCAGUUAACCCACUGUUCCCUGGUAGGCCGUCAUUGUAAAUAAAAAUUUGUUCUUAACUGACUUGGCUAGUUAAAUAAAAAUAAUAUCCUAUGCCUUUGGUGUUGAGAAUCUGCAGUUACUGUAAUGGACCAUUGGGGGGCAGUGUCGUCCCUGGAGUACACCACAAAGAGAUCAGGAGAGGUGACCCAGGUCAUGAAGAGAGAAGCCAGAUAAUCAGCCUAGUUAUUCUGAGAGAGUU